CUACGUAGGGUGCGAGCGUUGUCCGGAAUUACUGGGCGUAAAGAGCUCGUAGGUGGUUUGUCGCGUCGUCUGUGAAAUUCCGGGGCUUAACUCCGGGCGUGCAGGCGAUACGGGCAUAACUUGAGUACUGUAGGGGAGACUGGAAUUCCUGGUGUAGCGGUGCAAUGCGCAGAUAUCAGGAGGAACACCGGUGGCGAAGGGGGGUCUCUGGGCAGUAACUGACGCUGAGGAGCGAAAGCAUGGGUAGCGAACAGGAUUAGAUCCCCUGGUAGUCCAUGCCGUAAACGGUGGGCGCUAGGUGUAGGGGUCUUCCACGACUUCUGUGCCGUAGCUAACGCAUUAAGCGCCCCGCCUGGGGAGUACGGCCGCAAGGCUAAAACUCAAAUGAAUUGACGGGG
rnacentral:rRNA from 1 species